rnacentral:rRNA from 1 species
GAUGAACGCUGGCGGCGUGCUUAACACAUGCAAGUCGAACGGAAAGGCGCCUUUCUUGCUCCUCUGACGUUAGCGGCGGACGUAUGAGGAACAUAACCUUCCCCUACCUAUGAGACUAGUAUAACUUCGUGAAACCGAUGCCAAUACGGAAUAAUAUCUUGAUCGGCGGGGUUCAAAAGUUAAAGAGGGUUUUGCUGGACCUGAUACAUGGCUCCGCGUUGCAUUGGCUAGUUGGUAAGGUAACGGCUUACCAAGGCAAGCAUGCGUAGCCGACCUGAGAGGGUGAUGGGCCACACUGGAACUGAGACACGGUCCAGACUCCUACGGGAGGCAGCAGUAGCGAAGGGUGGGCAAAGGGGGAAAGCCUGAAGAAGCAGCGCAGGGCGGGUGAUGAAAGUCUUCGGAUCGUAAGACGCUCUUAUGAGGGAAGAACACAUGCGGAAGGGACGAAGCUCGUGGUGACGGUACCUGAACAGGAAGCAACGGCUAACUACGUG